rnacentral:rRNA from 1 species
CCUACGGGUGGCAGCAGUGAGGAAUAUUGGUCAAUGGGCGUAAGCCUGAACCAGCCAAGUCGCGUGAGGGAUGAAGGUUCUAUGGGUCGUAAACCUCUUUUAUAAGGGAAUAAAAUGCUGGACGUGUCGGGUUUUGUAUGUACCUUAUGAAUAAGGAUCGGCUAACUCCGUGCCAGCAGCCGCGGUAAUACGGAGGAUCCGAGCGUUAUCCGGAUUUAUUGGGUUUAAAGGGUGCGUAGGCGGCCUUUUAAGUCAGUGGUGAAAGUCUGUGGCUCAACCAUAGAAUUGCAGUUGAAACUGGGAGGCUUGAGUAUGGUAGAGGUAGGCGGAAUGCGUGGUGUAGCGGUGAAAUGCUUAGAUAUCACGCAGAACCCCGAUUGCGAAGGCAGCUUGCCAAGCUAUGACUGACGCUGAUGCACGAAAGCGUGGGGAUCAAACAGGAUUAGAUACCCGUGUAGUC